AGGCAGCAAAGGCGCAGGGGGCUUGCCGGGAAGCCCGGCAGCUUGUUUACAACAUGGCAGCGUCCAGGCGGGCUCAGGUGCUGCGGCUCUAUCGGGCCUUGCUGCGCGAAAGCCAGGGUUUCACCGCCUACGGCUAUAGAACAUAUGCCAUCAGAAGAAUAAGAGAUGCCUUUAGAGAAAACAAAAACACCAAGGAAUCGUCAGAAAUAAAUGCACUAAUCAGCAAAGCAAAAACUAAUCUGGAAAUGAUACACCGGCAGAAUACCUCUGAACCGUAGAAUAACAAGUACAUAAAUAAAAUGCUGUGUAUGCCAACUGCAAAAACAGGAGGUGGGGGAACAAAUGAGGAAACUUCUGGAAUACUAUCCCAUGACUCAGCUUGAUUCUUCUUGUGAAGGAACAGAUGCAUAAUACAUAUGACAAGUGUGAAGGUCACUAUUGGUCAACUGUAUUCAGCAGAGAAGCUUGUUAUUGAGUGCCCACAAAAAAUAUAAUUCUGAUACUUUUUCUGCAAAAGUAGUGGACGAGCCUCAGCAUUCUACGAGAUUUAUAUUUGAAGGCAUAUUACAAUCUGUAUAUAUGACUGAGCUAUCUUAUUCCUCUGGUUUAAAAAUAUAAUGAAGAGUAAUUGUAUAAAGUAUCGUUUUAUCUAGAAUGUUAUUGUUCACGUGCCACUAAAAUGGAUUAGUUUUGUUGUAUAUGAAUGUCACUGUUUGCUCAUACAUUUUCCUGACAAUAAAAUAUUUGCUCACUUCCUUC